rnacentral:rRNA from 1 species
GGAUUAGAUACCCUGGUAGUCCACGCCCUAAACGAUGUCAACUAGGUGUUGGGUGGGUUAAACCAUUUAGUACCGUAGCUAACGCGUGAAGUUGACCGCCUGGGGAGUACGGCCGCAAGGUUAAAACUCAAAGGAAUUGACGGGGACCCGCACAAGCGGUGGAUGAUGUGGAUUAAUUCGAUGCAACGCGAAAAACCUUACCUACCCUUGACAUGCCAGGAACUUGCCAGAGAUGGCUUGGUGCCCGAAAAGGGAACCUGGACACAGGUGCUGCAUGGCUGUCGUCAGCUCGUGUCGUGAGAUGUUGGGUUAAGUCCCGCAACGAGCGCAACCCUUGUCAUUAGUUGCCAUCAUUUAGUUGGGCACUCUAAUGAGACUGCCGGUGACAAAACCGGAGGAAGGUGGGGGAGUGACGUCAAGUCCUCAUGGCCCUUAUGGGUAGGGCUUCACACGUCAUACAAUGGUCGGUACAGAGGUUGCCAAGCCGCGAGGUGGAGCCAAU